ACUUGCAGAUUGGGUUACGCUUAAAAAAACAACUCCCCGAAAUAAUAUGAAUAACUCGAUAAAAAAUGCUGGACGGGAGAGUUGAUGCAAAUUAGCAAACGUGACCUGAUGUGAGGUCAGCUAAACUGCAGCACACACAGCGGCCAUUGUGUCUCCGCUUCUCCACCCACUCUGAGCGGGCACCACUUCAGCACCGACGGGGUUUGUUUUGGGCCGGGCAGGUCCAGUGUAAAAGGGCUUCCUGUGACCGGGGGGGAAACAUGGGCGCUGGCCAUCACCUCGACCGAAUCCAGAACCAAAUGAGAUGGAGACUCUGAGACACAGAGGGAUAGAGGAAAUAGAAACAGAAACAAAGACAGCAUUGCAGUUACAGAUGUGCGAGAGCUGAAGCCUCAGCACUUUUUUCCUCUCGACCAGUCUCACACUUGCACUCCUCCACCACCAUC